GACGAACGCUGGCGGCGUGCCUAACACAUGCAAGUCGAACGGACCUGUUUUGAGAUAUUUCUUCGGAAUGAAUCUGAUUUCGUUUAAUGGCGGACGGGUUAGUAACGCGUUAGGAACCUGCCUUCAAGAGGGGAAUAACAUUCUGAAAAGAAUGCUAAUACCGCAUGACAUAUCGGAACCACAUGGUUUUGAUGUCAAAGCUUUUAUCUCUUUAAGCUGGACUCGCGACCGAUUAUUUAGUAAGUGAUGUACCGGCUAACCAAGACCGCGAUCGGUAACCGGGCUGAGAGGUCGAGCGGCAGAAUCGGGAGUGAGACACCGCCAGGGAUCCUACGGGAGGGAGCGGUGGGGGAACUUGCCAAAGGGGGGCAACCGAGAAGGAGCAACGGCGCGUGAAGGAUGAAGAUUUUCGGAUUGCAAACUUCUUUUAUUAAGGACGAAAAAUGACGGUACUUAAUGAAUAAGCUCCGGCUAACUACGUG
rnacentral:rRNA from 1 species